rnacentral:rRNA from 1 species
CUAGCGUUGUCCGGAUUUAUUGGGCGUAAAGAGCGUGUAGGCGGCCAGGUAGGUCUGCUGUGAAAACUCGAGGCUCAACCUCGAGACGUCGGCGGAAACCAUCUGGCUAGAGUCCGGAAGAGGAGAGUGGAAUUCCUGGUGUAGCGGUGAAAUGCGCAGAUAUCAGGAAGAACACCCGUGGCGAAGGCGGCUCUCUGGGACGGUACUGACGCUGAGACGCGAAAGCGUGGGGAGCGAACAGG